CCGAUCAGGAGACACUGGACAGGCUUGAAUGAAGCUUGACGCCUGGUGGCCUACAAGGCCAUUCUGGGCUUAAAGGCUGUAGCUAAGAGGCUGCCGUCUGUGUUGAAUGACAUGGAAAGAAUCACGUCGGAAUGAAAGCCGAUUGUCUUCACGGGGGCCUGAAUUACAGACUCUUUGGUGUCCAGAUUCCAGAUCAGGACCUGAGGCAGAGGGAAGUCCACUUGUGAGUGUUUUCUGAGCUCCUAGUGGAAUCCCAACACAUUAAAGAACCAGGCAGCAAUGGUGGGCCUCUGGCUCCAUUCACCAUUUGCUUGUGUCAGAUUGUGCAUUGCUCCAAAGCCCCCUGUGAAACUCCACUGGCAAACAGGAAAGAGGGAGAGGAAGCUGGACAACAUGGAAACAAGAAAUAACUCAAAAUCCUGCACCAAAGAGAUUUUGCAACAUCAAAAGCUGCAUUCUGCCAUUGGGGUGCGUUUCACAGUCCAUUAAAGGGCAUCAGACUGGGGCCAUGUAGCCAACUCUGGCAUGUUGGGAUGUAGCAAUGUGGAGUACACUGAAUAUGUAAGGAACGGCACUGCACUUUCACACUGUGCUCCUUUGGAUUACACCAUGUGUUUAUCAGAUUGAUAUCCAAGAAGUACACCAAGCAUUUUUUUUCCUGCUUUUCUGUUAU